AAGUAAUAUAAAUUAUUUCCUAGAAGAAAAAAAAGGAUUGAUAAUAAAAAAGAAAAUCGAAAUAUAAAUUUUAUAUUUUACAUUCACAUAGCUUUUUUUUGGAACCAAACAACCCCAAUAUUUUCCUUUUUAUUUUCAAUUUGGUCUCAACGAAGAACCAUGACCACGAUCACAACCAUCACCAUCAUCAUCGCUUUCGUCACGACCUCGUUUAUUUCCAACACCAAAGAAAAAGUCAUCUAAUCCAACGGUUAGGAUUAAAUCUUCUUUAAUUUCUCAGCUUUGAUCAAUGGAUUUGCCUUAGCUAUAGCUUCUCUCCCCAUUGACUUAAAAUCAAAUGUACAAGCAUGAACCUCUGGAUACCUAUGGGUCCCACAAAAUAUGGUCCCACACUUGCAUCUAAAUCCCAUUAACCCCAUUUUCUUCUUACAAACCAAACAUCUAUUCGACUGCGGCGUCACAACAUUUGACGUCGUAGCCUUCAUUGUAUCCGUUGUCAAAACAAUCGGCUCGAUUAUCUUUUUUUCCGAAACCUUUUUUGUCGGAGAAAAAAGAGAAUCGAUUGAUUUUGCAUCGGAUUUUUGUUUUUCGAUAUCGCGAUAACAUUUUGAACAAUAAUUUUCGGUUGUAGAGUUGCCAAAAAAACCACAAUUAUUUGCACAUAAUUGGUGACGUCCACCUUCUUGGGAUUGAAAUUCAUGUUCUUCCGCCAUAGAAAUAAUUUUUUUUUGAUUGAAUAUUUGAUGAAAAUAAAUUAUGGGUUUU
rnacentral:misc_RNA from 1 species